UGUCCCAUCCUUCAACAGAAACUGGAGUCCCUUGAUGUUAGUCAGCUUGUGGCUGAACCAACGGGGGGAAGAGGGUGGAGAGGCAAGCCAUGGGGUUGGGCUCCAUAUAGGAGCCCGGCUUCUUCAGUCUUCUGCGCCAGGGACCAGCUGGUCACAUUAUCCUUCCCCUGAACUGAUCUUUUCCCUGAAACCUUGGCUUGGAUCGCUUCCUGCAAACGAUGUGUAAUCUGCAUGUAUGCCAGUCACAGGACAUCUCCUCUGCUGGCAGUGUGCAAGGCCAAGGCAACAGUGAAACCAUCUCAUUAAUGAUUCAGCAUGCCACCCUAGUGGCCACUGGAGCGCACAGUCCACGUGUAGAUCUGAAGUGGGUGUUCGGCUCCUUGCCUUGGCUCCCUGGGAGAGACGCUCUUACCCCGGGCUGCAUAACCUUUAUGUGA
rnacentral:lncRNA from 1 species